AUUAUCAAGGGUUACCACCUCUAAAAUGGAGACAUUCUAACCAGGAUCAUCGUAGUAGUCGAUCCAUCUGAGCACGUUGUAUCAUCGCAUUGAUCGGUUAAGAUAUCCAAGUGCGAGUUUAAUGUCCUAGUGUGUUCCACAUUUGCAUUGUCUUCAUUUGUUUGUACGGUGAUGACGACAGCACUGUUGUCGUCGUAGUCUCCUUGUUGGGGCAUUGUCCGGACUCCAAUUCCCGGACUCCUAUCUCCGGACUCCCGACUCAUUGUUGGCCCUUUUUGUUGUUUUUGCGCCUCGCGUGUCUAAUAAAAGCGCAUCACAAUGUGGGUCAUUGUACGACGACACAGGCCAGUCGGCUUCAUAUGACUUUGCAUUUGUCAGCAGCAUGCAACUGCUGCAACAUCAACACAUAAAA